rnacentral:rRNA from 1 species
UACGGGGGGGGCAAGCGUUGUUCGGAAUUACUGGGCGUAAAGGGCUCGUAGGUGGCCAACUAAGUCAGACGUGAAAUCCCUCGGCUUAACCGGGGAACUGCGUCUGAUACUGGAUGGCUAGAGAUUGGGAGAGGGAUGCGGAAUUCCAGGUGUAGCGGUGAAAUGCGCAGAUAUCGGGAGGAACACCGGUGGCGAAGGCGGUUCUCUGGGCCUGUACUGACGCUGAGGAGCGAAAGCGUGGGGAGCGAACAGG